AAGCCGUCAAAAAAACCAUAAAAAACGCCCAAGAUGCUGCCUCCAAGGCUGUUGCAGCCGCAUCUGAUUUGGAAACUGCUACUAGCAUGGCCCUUGACACCCCUGCAAAUGCAAAUAACACCACUGUGCAAAAAUUUGAUGGAGCAAGUCAUCCUCAACGACCACCUUCGAGCGACAAUUUGACAGCGGGAGCAGAGAAGGUAAUUCAGAACAAACCAAUCUGGUACUUCAUUUUUUUAGGAACCAGGAAUAUCUAUUAAUAUUCCAGCUAGCAUCUGCAAUGAGAAGCACACAUAUUUGUCCAUUAUUGCUAAUUUAUUCUGCCUAUGCUACCAAUAUUCUCUUUCAGUUAAAUGUGCAACUUACUUUCAAGAACUAUACAACAUCUCUUAUGUUUUUUCUUGAUCAACCUAACAAAGUCAUUUGUUUUAUACAUAUUUGGAAAUUUCUUGUGAUUUACAUAGCUAUAGUGCUUGUUUAUGUGUAGACCGGUAUCUAUGCAAGAUGGGUGUUUUACCUUCUUCACUUAUCUUAGAAUCCCCCCUAUUUUGGUAUGAUAAGAUCGAGGGAGUCUGUGAAUUAUGUGUCACCUCAUACAAAUUGUAAAUUAGGACCUGUUCCAGUCUUAUCAUUGAUCUCAAUAGACAACAAACUAAAUAAAAAAACAUUUUUAUCAUGUAAAAUGGUUCUACUGUAAACACUGAAUCCAAAGCAUUUGGCCCUUACCACUUUAAAUUUAAAAAAAUGCCUUUAAGUUGCACAUAAUUUUAGCUUUCAAAAUACUUAUACUCUCUUCGUCUUUAAAUUGUUAUCGCUGACUAGUUCAUUUUUAACUAACCAAUGACAAAAAUUAAAUAACGGAGGGAGUAUUUACUUACUUCAAAAUUCAAUAGAUAGGGUUCCCAAAUGUAUGUUGUUUCAAAAUUAUGAUUUUUGCAAAGUGCAAAAAUUUCAAUGUUUUAAGUAAACUUGAAUUCUGUACGAAACACUAGGUUCUAGACAUGUUUCACUUUAUAGCUUGAUUGUACAUUGAAUAAUUCCAUUUGUCAUAGGUUUGGAAGAGCGAAAAGGACGCCAAAGGAAAACAAAAAAAAAUGACCCAUUAUAAUCAAAUAAUGUUCUGAUUCUGGUGCUGAAAUCUGUAACAUGUUCAUUCCUCCAACUGGGUUUCAUGUGGCAUUUUGCUUUUGCAACCAUGGUUAUUUCUCUAUGUAACUUUGUUUCAUAUCUUUCGUAUUUAUUGUUAGUUGUGAACUUGUGGCUUGUGAGUAUCUAAGUGAUUGUUAUAUUUAUUUUCAGUCAUGAAUCUUGUUAUAGUAUAACCGUAUUGUUCUAUUUGAUGCCAUUCAUGUGUAGUUCUGUAUAACUAUGGAUACUAAAUUGCACAUGUUCCAUGUAA